rnacentral:tRNA from 1 species
GCCUGGGUGGCUCAGUCGGUUGAGCGUCCGACUUCAGCUCAGGUCACGAUCUCACGGUCCGUGAGUUCGAGCCCCACAUCAGGCU